AAAAAGGGCUUCUGUCAUGAGUGGCAUAUGUAGGCACCUUGAUUGCUCUUCAUGCAGAAUUGACAUCAAGUGAUUUUGGAAGCUUAAUUUUUGUUGCUGUGGUAGCUGGCUUUAGCAUGAAA
rnacentral:snRNA from 1 species